rnacentral:rRNA from 1 species
GCAAGUCGAACGGCAGCACGGACUUCGGUCUGGUGGCGAGUGGCGAACGGGUGAGUAAUACAUCGGAACGUGCCUAGUAGUGGGGGAUAACUACCCGAGAGAGUGGCUAAUACCGCCUGCGAUCUAUGGAUGAAAGCAGGGGACCUUAGGGCCUUGUGCUACUAGAGCGGCCGAUGGCAGAUUAGGUAGAUGGUGGGAUAAAAGCUUACCAUGCCGACGAUCUGUAGCUGGUCUGAGAGGACGAUC